GACGAACGCUGGCGGCGUGCCUAAUACAUGCAAGUAGAACGCAGUUGCGAACGGGUGAGUAACGCGUAGGUAAAUGCCUCAGAGCGGGGGAUAACUAUUGGAAACGAUAGCUAAUACCCCAUACUGUGAGAUGGAACUGCGUUGUAUUAGCUAGUUGGGGCGGUAAAGGCUCACCAAGGCGACGAUACAUAGCCGACCUGAGAGGGGGAGCCGGCAAACUGGGACUGAGACACGGCCCAGACUCCCACGGGAGGCAGCAGUAGGGAAGCUUCGGAAAUGGACGGAAGUCUGACCGAGCAACGCCGGGUGAGUGAAGAAGGUUUUCGGAUCGUAAAGCUCUGUUGUUAGGGAAGCGAUACCUAAACAGAAAGGGACGGCUAACUACGUGCCAGCAGCCGCGGUAAUUC
rnacentral:rRNA from 1 species